GUACCGCAGCGUGGACUCCGCGCUGGGCUGCGCUCCGCCGACCCCCGCCCGCCGCCGACCCCGCUGCUGCUACGGCUGGGGCAGGGCUGCGCCCCUCGCCCUCACAGCCCUUUGUCCGCCUCCUGACCCCGCGGGCUUCCCUCCGUUCCCGCGGGGCUCUCCCUCCCUCCAGGCAAGCGCCCACCUUCGCCUUUUUUCCUCUUCAUUUUUUUUUCUCCCUUCUGACAUCCCUUUUUCUUAGUAAAAAACCCCAUAAAACAGGCCGACACCAGCAGGGAGUUUUGCCCCGCCAGGUGCACAGCGAGCGCGGGGCCCCGGCCUGGCCACAGUUUGGGUUCCCCCUCCCACCUCCCCCCGCAGCGCUCCUGGCCCGGGGGCUCUGGGGCACCCGGGGGGCGGCUGCAGCAUCCAUGGAGGGUCUGCCCGACCAGCUGGGUUCGCAGCCCUGUGUCUUAGUGUGCAAGUGGGAAAGAAGAGCCGAGAAAGCAUCACUUGAAGGUUUCUGCCUGUUAUCUGUCCUUCUCAUUCCCUUUUCCAAUGUGUUAUUGCCAGCCAAAGCUUCCAUCUCACUUUAAAAAUCGUGGGUGGAAAGGCGACAGGAAGGUGGGCGCCCGAGUGGCAUGGCACACAGUCUUGCUGGCACGGGAUCUGUAAGAAGCUUAAAACCUAUUUGCCAUGACGCUGAUUUAUGAAAGCCUUCCAUGUUUCAUAACAGGGAGUCUCUAACACAAAGUUGCUUUGGGAGCGAGGAAGCGCAUUAAAGUUUCUUUGGCAAUCUAAGCCUUACCCACCCAGCUCCUCCGCGUCCCAAAGCAGCGUGCAAACCGCCUGCCCGCUCUGUAACCCGCUCCCAGCCGCUUCCCUCUUCCCGCGGAGCCAAAACGCAGCCCGGGCUCCCUAGAAGCCGCGGCCGGUUCCCGUUUUUCCUCGGGAAAGCAGGUCCCGAGUCCCCUCUAGCGGCGGCGGCCGCGGCGGCAGCGGUGCCGCUGUCCCGGUGCCGGGUCCCGCUGCCCCCGCGGGGUCCGGGCAGCACCGCCGAGGCCAGCUGCCUUCUCCGGGCUUUAUCUUGUAACCACGGCUCGCCCCGGGUGAGGAGGAAUGGGCUUUAAACCAGGCUUUAGCACUAACUCCAUUAAUCUGUAAAUUGCCACGUACGGACAUAAAAACCGGGACAGGCGUGUCACUGCUUUUUGGUCUGUGGCCAAAUAUUUUGUGUCACGCAUCUUGAAGGCCGGAUGUUAAGGGCAAAAUGAGAAAGGCAGAUAGGUCAUAAAACCAGGCUGAUACCUGGGGUGUAGGAAAAUACUGCAAUAGUACAGGGAACACAAAGACUGUCCUAGUAAAUUGUGUACUUGCAAUGUGUGUGAUGUUUCAAAUAGUCAAAUGGGAUUCCCUUGUAUCCUACGUGGUUGUUUUUCCUGCUCCAUCUGCUAUAUCUCUUUCCAGUGUUUGCCUCCUCGUAGCCUGCUGUGUCUUCAUUUUCCCCUCCAUAAUCUAGCACUCUUCUUGCCCUCAUGUCUCUCCAGCAACUCUUGGAAUUGUGUCUCAUAUGAUUGGUGAAAUAUGGUGGUGUUAACAACACUGUCAGAACCUGCAGGGACAGGGGCAAAUAACCUGAAAGAGAGAAAAACCCCUCAUUCUGCUGAGACUUAGUAGGCAGAAAAGAAUUUCCUUAACUAAUUUUAAAUUAUCUUUCCACCCAUAUAUAUAUCUGGAUAAAUCAAGAGAGCAAUUUCUUCAGAGAAUGAUUACUCCAGAUAUCCAGUAAUUGAAAAUGGAGUAUUUUCUAUCCAAAACCAGUGAGUAUGAACAUGUCUGGUUAUGAGUGUGUGUACCUUUGAAAUUAUCAACCAGCAACUGUUGGCAAUUUUUGUGGUAAGAGCAGGUAUGAGAUUGUGUAAUCUCAGUUGCUGCAACACUGAAAAGUAAAUUAAUAAAGUUAAGUGAAAUGUACUGUAGAUUAAAAGAAACUCACAUUUGAAGACAGGAUGGCCUUUUUCUUGUUACAAGCAAAGAACUUAAAAGCCAUUUCACCAGAGGGGAAAUUACUACAUCAAAGGGGAAGCAAAUUUAAAUGACACAAAAGUAGCCUUGUUAUGUGCAAAAAGUGCAAAGUAAAGACAAUGCAAUCAAAUCUCAGUUCUGUUUUACAGAAACUGUAAAUAGAUUCUGCCCUAGUCUAAUUUGGCAGAGCCCAGAUAUACCCAUUACUAAUGAUGUAAAUACCUAGUAUCAAGAAUAAACUUUAAAUGGUAAACCUUUAUGUAAACUAUUCCUGGGCUUUCCAUAAGUCUAUGCUUCAUAUAACUCUGAUAAAAAUCUUCUACUUUACCCUCCCUAUAGAACUAAAUUUAGUGCCUGCUUCCAUGAUAUCUGCACUUUGAUGAGAAGUCACAGCUUCCAAAAGUUUUGAGGAACUCAGAAAAAUCACAUUUCCUUAUGUAUUAUGACCUUACAGCACUGCAUUUGACAUUGACAGUGAGUUGCAAAGGAAAAAUACAAAACUGUAUACUUUGCUUUAAGCAUGAGAAAGAUCUGAAAGCUUUUCUGGUUUUCAUUCCUGGGGAAGAUUCCUUGAAGAUUUCCUUGCUUCUAGAUUGAUUCAAUCUAGUUUUACUGACACAGUUAGAGUGUUUGUUUUUUGGGGCUGUUUCUUUAGGUUUUGGGUUUUUAAAAUCUUAUUUAAUUAUUUAUUUUUAUUAAGAGAUAAAAGAGAUUGUUGAAGAACAACGUUUCAGCAAACCAGAAACUAGUCUAUAGACUAAAGAAAUGAAUGCCUGCCUAAUGCUAAAACUCAGCUAGCAGUAUGAAAUUUGAAAUAGUUUAAAUAUUUGACGCACUGUGGAAGAGGCCUUUGUAUUCCAAAAACUAAUAGAUAUGGGAAGCUCAAGGUAAUAGUUGGAAUAUUAAAGGAACACAAACCCAUUGCUGCUUGAUUAAAAAAAUAAAUCUCAGAAGAUACCUAAAAUGUUUCUCCAAACUUUCAAUGUAUUAGAAUAUUUCUGUAGCCCAAUUAUCCACUCUUAUACUUUGGCAUGGUGAAACUCCUGUUCAAGCUAAAGCUUACACACAUUUUGUCCUCCAAUAAACAAAAAUGAGUGAACACCAUGGAAUUACAGCAAAUCAUAAGGCUUGCAGGCCAAGAACUGUUGAACCAAACACAAAAAUAAGUAAAAUUAUAUUUGAAAGUAACUUUCUUUUACCAUGUGUUUUGACGCCUGUUACUGUGUAAGUACCUGCAUAACUUCAUUGUCAUGCAAACUCUGGUGGAAGAAUGUAUUUUGGUAAAAUUGUAAGGGUAAGCAGGAUGAGGACCUGCAUUUGAAGAGCCAUCAGUGCAAAACAGUGACUUUGACAGCUGAGGACAUGUCUGUGCUGCUUUUGUGCUGUGGAGUGACCUCUGGAGUGGCCUUGGUUCCCCAGCCAACUGUAAAGUCAUCACGUUGAAUUCAGUUUCCCAAUUACCAUGACAAAGCAGUGAUAUCAAAGCCUCAGAUUUACUCUUUCAUUAAGAAGCAAGAAAGAGUGGGGUUCCGAGCAGAGCUACUUUAACUCUCCAGUCAUCUCUUCCUUAGACUUGGAGGUCAAAUGUAGAGAUUUUGGAUGUUUGAUUGGACCAACAUACCAUUCAUCUAUGUAACACAAUUUCCUAAAGGCCUUCUGACAUUAACCAUCCUAGAUUCCAGAUGAAUGCAUUUCUCUUCUCUUCUCUACAGUUUUGCCUAAGAGACAUUGGAAGACAAAUGUUUCUGUCACAGCCAGUAGUGGGACUGUCUCAACUCGUUUUCCUGUGAUGCCUGUUGACCAGAAUUACUGUAUUCCUGCCAGAUUCAGUUUGUGUCUGCUGCUCCUCAUUCAGCAUUUGAUUUCCUGAAGACACCAUGGCAAAGUCACUGUAUGAAAUAGGAAAUUUAGAACAGAGACAAAAAUGGCUUUUCAUGAACAUUGAGUUGAAGCUGGCCAGUGGGUUCAAAAGUGGUUGGGUAUGGUGGGGAGAGCCAGAUGGACAUCACAGCUGCAGGAGUCUCAUCCCUUCCAAAAUCAGGAUAAAAAUGGAGUUGCUACACUCCCCUGGGACUUACAUAAAUCAGAUUUAUGGUUCCUCAUGCUGCUACCAUGAACCUAUACCAGGAAAUGCUCAGACACACAGUCCAAAGGCACUGAAAAGAAAAGAGUUCCUUCAGAGCUAUUAUUUAGAGUGUCUAAAGUUAAGCUCCUGCUCUGAGUCGCCCCCCAAAACCUCCCUAUCACUGACGCACAUUCUCAUUGAAGUGAACCUUUGUGAAUUCCUCCUUUGUCAUUGAAAUAUGAAAUGCAAUACACUGUACAGCAAAAUGAAUAACCAGAUAAAAUGCUGCCACUGGGAUGUCUCAAAAUGUGAGCUUUCUGUUCUAUUCUGGCAGUUGUCAGGAGUCUGUGGAGAAUGUUGGAGACAAACAUGACAUAUAGAAUCUGGAUUUUUAGGUAUUUGUGAUGGAAAUUUGAGUCUACCACAGUCUAUUAAUGUGCCAGUGACCAUCAGCUAGUAAUUAGAUUCUCAAAAAAAUAGCAGGGCUGGGAACUGAUGGCCUGCAGAAACCCUGGUGAAGAAGGAGGAGGGCAAAGUAUAUGGGCAGAGAUGGUUUAGUGUCAUUUUCACCUUUGAAAUUUUAAGCUGCUUCCAAAGGUGAUAAAGUAACCAAACAAGAUGUCCCUACUGCAUCCAAUACUGCUCAACAUCUUCAUUAUUAACCCGGAAGAUGGAUGUAGACUGCUGUGAUGGUUUAACAGCAGCUGGGAAUCAAACUCCAAAUAGGCCGCUUCCCUUCCCCCUGUCCCCCUCUGGUGAGGGAGGGACAAAGGAGAGACUGUGGGUUGAGAUAACAAUUUACUGAAAGCAAACAGCAAUGGAUUAAGAAACACAGUGACAACAGCAAUGCUAAUAACAAAAGUGUACAGAAAGAGAAGGUGCUUUACACACAGAAGGCAUUCACCACCUUGAAUUAGCUCUGCAUGGCCACUGAGACAAAGACAAGAUGGCAGGGGGAUGUACCUGCAGCUCAGCAGUGAUGUUUGUUUAUUUCUGAGGCAAAGACAGGAUGGUGGAUGUUCAGAUGUUCCUGUGGCUCAGCAGUGACACAGGGCUGUUUCCAAGACAAGAUGGCAGACGAUGUUCCUGUACCCAGCACCACAUGGCCUCCCAGCACUAAGACAUGAUGGCCCUCCUGCAGCCAGGGUUUCCUGUUCCUGAGGCCAAGCCAAGAAAAACAAUGAAGGAUCAACCCUUAAAAAAGCUGGAUCAUCCUCACUGUGCAGCGCCACCGCUUUCUGCUGCAUUCUGCUGGUUCAAUUCCAUGCGCUGCCGCCCCUUCAGAGAGCUCUGCCACGCUACGCCUGCCUCUGCACGCCUCCAUUCCCUUGGCUCCUCUUGCUUGAAGCCAAACCUUGUCAGGUUUGAAGCCUCAAGACAGUUCCUUACAAGGACUAUCCUCUCAUCCAAAAUUAAAACAAGAGCUUUGCCCCCAGUUAAAAAAGUACUUAAUAAGGAGAUCCACACUAAUUUCUUCAAAAUCUUCGCUGCGUCUUCAGGAAAAUUAUUACAGAAUAAACAAUGGAAAAACAAGUAUCAAAAUAAUCUGUGUUCUGUAAUAGUUUAAAGCAUAUUCAUAAGGGUCCUGUGAUGUUUUUCUUCUUAAAUAUGACCUUUUUGUUCCCUUGUUAAAUUUCCUGGUAAGUAAAUUACAGUUCCAACUGUAAGUAAUUUCUUUACCAUAGUCCAGGUAACUCUUGUGGGUAGCUGGAGAACACCAGCAGAGGCACUUAACAUUGGAUGUUCGGGACAAGUGCUAAAACAGUGCUGGAUUUUGCUAUGCUUUGUUUUGGAAAUUGGAAAUUCGCCAAUUUGUGAGAACACUCUAAUUUUGGAAUAUAGCUAUGAAAGCUGAGAGUCUGAGGCCUCUUAUGGUCAUUCUUAAAAGCUGGCAAAAUACUCCACUAAAUGUCUUGUAAUAUGAAAGACAAGCUCACAAAGGGGGCUGGCAACCGAUGGAGAUUCAUAUCACAACAGAUAAUUUCCUUGAUCUCCUUAGUGAUCUAUUCAAAAAAACCACCAAAAUAUAUACAGGGGUGUGAUAGGGGUGUGUUCAAGUUUGUCAGGGUGAAAGAAAACACAUCUAUUUUCUUAAAUAGCACUUCAGAGCAGUUAUUUUUCUUCUGCAUAUUCUUUCAGUACUCUGUCUUGCUACAAUAUGCUUUACAGCGUCUGUAGUUCUUUCUUAGUAGUACCAAGAAAAUUAAAACAUGUUGAAAAAAGAAACUUGAUUAGACUCUGUUCCACUUACACAGAAAUGGUUAAGAAGAAAAGAGCCAGAGCACAUACUGAUCUUAUAGCUAAAGCCAAGAAUAAUUUUGCCUGUGACCUUCAGGAUCCAAUUCAGAGAGGCAUAAAAUGGUGCCCCUGGAGAACACAGACAUCCUAUGGAUUUGUAAGUGGUUUGGGUUGAAUUUAGUCUGUGCCUACAUUUUUUAUUGUGCAAAUUGAAGUCAUCUCUUUUGAGAAUAGGUCCAUAAGCCCUGCAGUCUUACCAUGUAUGUCUUUUCCCCCUUUUGCCCUCUCUGUCCUCAACUCACAGAGUUUUCUUGUCCUAUUCAAUUUGCCACCCAGAGACAGUGCACCUCUUGGCUGUUCAGUUCCUUGCCUCUGGGAAGUCACAGAAAUGCCUUCUGAAUAUUUUGUUGAGGAGAAAGCCUCUCUAGCAGAAAAGUGUUGUUAAGCAGUUCACUGCCUGGAGCACAUGGAGCAGCUGCCCUGUCACACACCCUCUCUCCAUGACAGGAGAGGGGCUGUGUGACUCCUGCCCCUGCUCACAUCCUAGGAGAGCAUCGUACUGCAGCACAGAAACAGGGAUUUUCUUCUAUGCUCACGGGGCUGAACUGACCCCAGGCAGCCUGCAGGAUCUCUCUGGAUCUCUGUCACAGCUCUGUCCAAGGCUCUCCACUGUAACAACAGCGAUUCUUCUGAUGCACACAAGGGCUGUGCAUUUGCUGUGGGUCAGCAGCUGGAGGAUUAGUUGAACUAUGUGGUCUGCCCGAGCAUCUCCUGUGCUGUGUGUAGUGAAACAUAACUGAGCCUUUCUGGAUUUAAUCUACCACCAAGAGUGCAAACUAUAUACACCUAAUUUUUGUGGGCUGGGGUUUUUUCUGGUUUGUGUCAGGAGAUACAGAGUAGGUAGAAGAAAAAUGCUAAGCACAAAAAGCUCCCCUUUUGAAAACAACAUCUUAGGGAACCCUCAGGUUUUCUUUUUUGUUUUCUUUCUGUGGAUGUACCCUCCCACAUUUACACCUGAUUUGUGAUAACUGGUACACUCAAAGUACUCAGCUAUCUGGAAGGUGAAUCCAAUUUAAACCAGAACGAGAAAAUUACGGGUGAAAAGACAAGUAAAAUUAUUUAAUUGAAAGCCUUGUCAGAAACUACUGGAAAAUUAAAGGGUGCAAUUCAUUCUUUUCAUAAAAUAAUGCAUAUAAUGAUAAAUAAAUACCCUUUAUCUGGCUCUCUCUUACCAUUACACUUUUCUGGCAAAAAGUUUGUUCAAGAAGAUGGGAUGGAUUUUCCCUUGCGCAUGUAACAAAAUCCAUGGUAGAAUAUGGGUCUUAGAAGUCUGAGCCUAGUGAUUUAUCCACACAUAGACUAUACAGCCUCUACACAUAUGUUGAGAAGAGAUUGUAACAUGUAGAAAGGGGAAAAAGGAGACUUACAUGUGUGAUAAUUAAGUGGUGUUUAUUUCUGAUUCCAGGCCUUUUCAUUUUUUAUAUAGUUGAUUUUAAAAUGUUAGCUGAUAUCUGGUCUUCUCACUGCUCAAAGAUCAAAUACAAUUGUUGAGCACUAACGGAAAAAAAAACAAUCUCCAUGCAACUUGACUCUUUGGAGACUUUACAAAUGGUAAGUGUGUGGAAAUGAAAAAAUGGGCUGUAAUUGCAGUGGACUUUCAUUUCAGCAUUAUUUACAUAAAACAGAAGCAUGUGCUUGUGUUGACAAAAAUGAAAACUUUUUCUGCCAAAUCUUUUGGCUCUUAAAUUUAAAAUGAACUACAGUAUGAUAGAUGCUUACUAUCUAAGCUCAAUGUAUUAAAGAGAACAUAGAAACUGUUGUCUUUAAGAAAACAGCCAUAAAAUUAAGAGCAAAGAAACAUGACUCCAAGAAAUUGGGUACAGUUAAGUUUUGGUCGUUAAUGCAGUACAAACUUAGUUUUUGAAUAUUAUGAACUUGAUAGAAGUCAAGCUCAAGACAGUUAUUGUAAAUAUGUUUUUGUAGUUUGCAUCAUUGACUGAUUCAUUUUACAGUAUGUUGUACCUGUUACAAUCUCCCAGUAUAGAUAAGGAAAAAAUGGAAAACAUGAAGAUUUAAGAAUAUGCUACAAUCAUGUUUUAAGCCACUAGUACUGACAAUAAUAUGAGACUUACUGAUGGGUCCACAGAUCAGCUGGUGCUGUAGGAACUGGAUAAAACUAAAGGACAGGCUAAUCCAGAGUUCUUUCUCUGACACUGGUCAGAGGCAGAUUUCUAGGAAAGAUGAGGGAGCUGAGCAAUGGCAAUCUCAAUCUGCAGCCACAUGAAUCAGUUGUGAUGUCUGGCAAUCCCUGCAGUCCCCCUUUGGCUCCCUCUCCAUUUCAAGCAUUCACAGAACUGUGAGACAGAGAUUCAUAGACUACCUGUCAGUUAGAUGAAGAAGCUCCUCCUUUUUUUUUAAACUUCACUUCUUAUUAGCUUUACUGGUUACUCUGUAGUACCUACACUGAAAACAGAACAAGCAAUUGCUAUCCACCCUCUUUGUGCCUCUCAUGAUUUACUGGAUGCACAUUUUAUUUCAAAUGUCCCCUUACAGACUGAGGAGACCUGCUUUGCUCAGCCAUUAUGUGAACACUACCUCUUGUUUCUCUUCCUGUUCCUCUCUGCACCUUAACACUUUCAGGUGGAAGAGGGAGCAGAGGGUGGAAAAAUAAACUUGUGCAGUAUUCAGCCUUUGUGGGAAUACAUGACAGAGAUGGAAAACAGUUGCAAAAUUGUCACAUGUGGAUACAUUGGUAAAAUAGGAAAAAACUUGCAUUGAACAAUUACAAAUUGCAAAGGUAGACAUACUGGAACAUCAAAGUAUUUGGGAUAAAGUUAUAUUAAAGCAUAUUUUAGGAAUACAUUUGGAUUCUUCCAAGUACUGUUUAUUAAACCAAACUAGAACAGAUCUAGAUAUAUUGGUCUAGCAACAAACCAAAAUUCCCCACACAAAUUCAAACACUUUUGCCUAAAAAAGUAUAGAUUAAUUUCAAUGAUGCAAAUGCCCAUCAAACCUUUUUAUUUGCAAAGUAAUUUUAAAAGCCUAAAUGCUAAGCUAAAUGUAUGUAAUGAGCUCAAAGGAAAUAGUGCAGAAUUUUAACCAAAAAAAUUGAAUAAAUAAAAACAAAUGUCUGGCAACUUUCUAAGCAAAGUCUUUUUAAGACAAAAUACAGGUAGCAAACUGACAAAUCCUAAUCAGAUAGUUCUGGUUUUCCCCAUUUGCAUUACAUUAUAUUAGACAAUCUGCAAGCUGCUAAAUAGAUUUGGGCUAAUUAUUCCUGGACCAGCUCUUUUUCAGGAAGAAAACCUUGAUUUUAUUGCAGUCUUUGUUAAAUUAAAAAUGCAGAUGCCUGCUCUGUGAAGCAUGCAUUUGGAUUCUCAUUCACUUCUUAGGCACAGGUCCUUGAAAAGAAAACUUGGUGGACAAUUUGAGUAUAGCACAGAGGCAGCAUAGACCCUCUGAGUGUUUAAUGCUAUUUCUUUAAUUCUCUGAGUAUUUAUUACUAAAUAUAUCUGUGUGCAAACCUGAUAGAUGAGUAGGUACACACUUUGUAAUCCUUAAAUCUUUCCUUUUUUUCCCAAAUAUUAUCUUCAGUGUAUGUUAAUUUUGCUGUUCUACUACCAAAAAAACUUAAUCAUGUGUACCACUGGCUGAAUUGAAAGUUUAACUACACUAGGAUUUUGUUUGGGUAGUCAAAUACAAUAGAAAUCAACCCAUCUUCUACAUUCUCAAGUUAGCAGUGAUUUUAAAUAGGAAGCAAUUCCAUAAACUAGGAAGUAACAGAACAGUAGUUCAUUCUUGCUGACCAUACAACUUCUUAGAUUUAGAUUUUAGAACAUCUUUAAUGUUCAUAGUUGUCGUUGUGUCAAAAUGAAUGUUUAAAUUUUUUAUUGUGACUCUGCUUAUUUUCACAGCCUUUGUAACCCUAAUGUGUUAAAUAAACACUUCUUGUCCAGCCACUGAACAAUCUAACAUGCGAAAUGAUUUGUGGCUUUCCACCUGAACUGUUGCUCAUGAAAUUGGGAUUUAAUGCCUGCAGGCCCACAUGUGGUAAAAGAGUUUCAUCUUAGAUUGCCUACUGUGCCUCCAAGACUUCGGCAGCAGUCAAGGCUUCCAAAAAUAGUCUGAGUAACAAGAAUGCUUGCAUGGUUUACACU